UACGUAGGUGGCAAGCGUUUGUCCGGAUUUACUGGGCGUAAAGGGCGUGCAGGCGGUUUGUUAAGUGCAGGGUGAAAGCUCCCGGCUCAACUGGGAGAGGUCCUUGCAUACUGGCGAACUCGAGGGAGGCAGAGGAAAGUGGAAUUCCCGGUGUAGUGGUGAUAUGCGUAGAUAUCGGGAGGAACACCUGUGGCGAAGGCGGCUUCUGGGCCUUACCUGACGCUGAGACGCGAAAGCGUGGGGGAGCGAAC
rnacentral:rRNA from 1 species